rnacentral:lncRNA from 1 species
CUUCCUUGUUUGUUUAGCCUGUAAAACAGCAGCGGCAGCCACAAUGACAACUGUUCCCUUGACGGUAAUUCUGACUUAUUCAGACUUUAAUGUCAAUUUAACGCUGUGUUUCUUUUUAGGCAGCACAAACCUUUGUGUUGACAAAAUGUUUGUAACACCCACAAAUGUACACAACCAUACAGCCACAUUGUUCAACAAGAAGGUUUUUUUUCUCUCUCUCAAUAAAACAGAGGAAUUUAGCUGUGAAACUUUCCAAAAAUGACACUUGUUUAAAAAAACAAAAGUGAUUGGCGCACAAACGUAGUUCUGUGUGAGCGUGGUGUCAGCUGGUCCCAGUCCCUGCAGCCCUCACCGUGCCCUGUGCAGGCCUGACGGGACGCCGACUGCAGCUCAGGACAUGGCCUCGUUUGUUCAGGGUCCCCCCUCUCUGAAAAGAGUUAUGCUGUCCGUUUUGAAUGGACAGCGUUUUUCUUUGUGUGCUCGAUCAAAACAGAGGGCAAAGUUAGUCAGCAAGUUGCAUAGCUUCUGCAUUCUGAUUCUUCAAGCCUCUUUUGUAUGACGUUUAGCACAAUGUUUUACCCUGUGUCCGACCUGAAUGGCGUGCUGGAGAAAACAAUGAAAGGAGCGGACAAAGCAAUUGUGGCAAAGUGCUUUGGAAAAUGGAAAAGCAGCUCUCUAAGGUCCAGGACCAUGGAGAAGCCGGAUGAGCCGUCCGAGGAGAGGAGGAGGAGGAGGAGGACGAAGAAGAAGAGCCUGCCCAACUACACCUGUGAAGCUCCUAAAGUCAGCGAGAAAGCACUCGAUGAUGAAUUACAGCAUCACCUCCUGAGAGAUAACCAGAGUGAAAGCAUCAGCCGGGGGCAGCACUUUGGAUCUGGCACCUUGUCCUUCAGAACUCUCAGAAAACUGCAAUCAGAGGUAUGUAUUCAGUCAGAAAAGACAAAUUAAGCUUUUGAAGUGGCCUUUUGAUAGAGCUGGGAGUACUUUUUCAUCAGAAUGAUCACAAACUUAGAGUUUGACUGAA